GGGCCCUGAAUUCCCGCGAAAGGCUGCAGAGGGAAGGAAGGAGCCAUGGUUUCAAGGGGAGCCCCUACCUACCUACCUAUAUCUAUAUCUAUCCCUUUUCUCUUUUGGUUGAAGCCAAGGCCUCUUAGCAAAGGCUGCUUUCCCUUCCAGGGGACGUCCACGCUGUAGAAUGAAUGCAGUUCGGCCCCACUUGAGCUGCCAUGGCUCAAUGCUAUGGAUUCCUGGGAGUUGUAGUUUUACAAGGUCUCCAGCCUUCUCUGCUAAAUGGCACACAUGUAGAUUUUAUGCACUUAGAGCCUAUUUGAAUUGCCAUGGCUCAAUGCUAUGGAUUCCUGGGAGUUGUAGUUUUACAAGGUCUCCAGCCUUUUCUGCUAAAUGGCACACAUGUAGAUUUUAUGCACUUUGAUCCUAUUUGAAUUGCCAUGGCUCAAUGCUAUGGAUUCCUGGGAGUUGUAGUUUUACAAGGUCUCCAGCCUUCUCUGCUAAAUGGCACACAUGUAGAUUUUAUGCACUUUGAUCCUAUUUGAAUUGCCAUGGCUCAAUGCUAUGGAUUCCUGGGAGUUGUAGUUUUACAAGGUCUCCAGCCUUCUCUGCUAAAUGGCACACAUGUAGAUUUUAUGCACUUUGAUCCUAUUUGAAUUGCCAUGGCUCAAUGCUAUGGAAUCCUGGGAGUUGUAGUUUUACAAGGUCUCCAGCCUUCUCUGCUAAAUGGCACACAUGUAGAUUUUAUGCACUUUGAUCCUAUUUGAAUUGCCAUGGCUCAAUGCUAUGGAUUCCUGGGAGUUGUAGUUUUACAAGGUCUCCAGCCUUCUCUGCUAAAUGGCACACAUGUAGAUUUUAUGCACUUUGAUCCUAUUUGAAUUGCCAUGGCUCAAUGCUAUGGAUUCCUGGGAGUUGUAGUUUUACAAGGUCUCCAGCCUUCUCUGCUAAAUGGCACACAUGUAGAUUUUAUGCACUUUGAGCCUAUUUGAAUUGCCAUGGCUCAAUGCUAUGGAAUCCUGGGAGUUGUAGUUUUACAAGGUCUCCAGCCUUCUCUGCUAAAUGGCACACAUGUAGAUUUUAUGCAGCUUGAUCCUACUUGAAUUGCCAUGGCUCAAUGCUAUGAAAUCCUGGGAAUUCUAGUUUUACAAGGUCUCUAGCCUUGUCUGCCAGAUUGCAUCAGUAUAGAAUUUAAUACAGUUUAGUAUCACUUGAACUGCCAUGGCGCAAUGCUUUGGAAUCCUUGGUAUCUAGCUUCAAAUCCCGGGAGUUGUAGGUUUACAAGGUCUCUAGCCUUCUCUGCCCAAGGGCAUGGGUAUAGAAGUUAAUACAGUUUAGCACUGCUUGAACUAACCUGGCUCAAUGCAAUGGAAUCCUGGGAGUUGUAGUUUCACAAGGUCUCUAGGCUUCUCUGCCAAACUGUAUUGGUAUAGAAUUUAAUACAGUUUAGCACCACUUGAAUUAUCAUGGUUCAAUGCUAUGCAGUCUUGGGAGUGCUAGUUUUACAAGGUCUCCAGCCUUCUCUGACCAACGGCUUGAGUAGAGAAUUUAAUACAGUGGCACCGUUUGAACUGCCAUGACCCAAUGCUAAGGAACCCCAGGAGUUGUAGUUUUUUACAAGGUCUCCAGCCUUCUCUGCUAAAUGGCACACAUGUAGAUUUUUUAAAAUUAAAUUUUUAUUGGUAUAUACAAAAAUUAAAUACAACGAAAGAGUGAGAACAAUAUUUGUUGACAGAAAGUGAAGGGAAAAAAAAUGAGAAUCUACUUUGAAAAGAAAGAAGAAAAAGAAGAAGCGUAGGAGUGGGAAAAAGACAUAAAGAAGAGGGUAAAAAAGGAAAAAAAAUAAAAGGAGGAAAAAUAAAAAAUAAAAAUAUUAAAAAAAUUAUAAAGGAAAAAAAUAAUAAAAAAACAAACCAUAAAUAUAUAUAAAAAUGAAUUCAGUCUUUGCCUUUGCAUUUCCAAUUCUAAAGUAAGAAAAGA